AUUAGUGGCGAACGGGUGAGUAACACGUGGGCAAUCUGCCCUGCACUCUGGGACAAGCCCUGGAAACGGGGUCUAAUACCGGAUAUGACACACGGAGGCAUCUCCUGUGUGUGGAAAGCUCCGGCGGUGCAGGAUGGGCCCGCGGCCUAUCAGCUUGUUGGUGGGGUAAUGGCCUACCAAGGCGACGACGGGUAGCCGGCCUGAGAGGGCGACCGGCCACACUGGGACUGAGACACGGCCCAGACUCCUACGGGAGGCAGCAGUGGGGAAUAUUGCACAAUGGGCGCAAGCCUGAUGCAGCGACGCCGCGUGAGGGAUGACGGCCUUCGGGUUGUAAACCUCUUUCAGCAGGGAAGAAGCGCAAGUGACGGUACCUGCAGAAGAAGCACCGGCUAACUACGUGCCAGCAGCCGCGGUAAUACGUAGGGUGCGAGCGUUGUCCGGAAUUAUUGGGCGUAAAGAGCUCGUAGGCGGCUUGUCGCGUCGGAUGUGAAAGCCCGGGGCUUAACCCCGGGUCUGCAUUCGAUACGGGCAGGCUAGAGUUCGGUAGGGGAGAUCGGAAUUCCUGGUGUAGCGGUGAAAUGCGCAGAUAUCAGGAGGAACACCGGUGGCGAAGGCGGAUCUCUGGGCCGAUACUGACGCUGAGGAGCGAAAGCGUGGGGAGCGAACAGGAUUAGAUACCCUGGUAGUCCACGCCGUAAACGUUGGGAA
rnacentral:rRNA from 1 species